AGACAUCUCUGGAAGCCAAGGUCACGUGCUGCCAUGUUGAUCUCCAUUGUGAAACAGAAUUGUUUCAGUAUCGGCAGCUAGACAUUGCUUGCUAAACUCCAAACUGUUGAGUGCUACACAGGCUUCAGGAAAGAGGUGGUUGAGAAGUCCAGCUUGGGCCAUCUUGGGCGGUUUCAAUAUCAUCCAUGAAGUCUGUGGUGGACUGAUGCCCAAGAAGCCUGGCGAGGAACUGCAGUUCUUCAGAUUCGUCUUCAACUGCUUCUGGGUCCAACUGGCAUGAGAAAGGGGUCUUAGCAUCCCCAGCUCCACAAGAGGUGCCUGGCUCUUCCCCUCACUCCACUCCUUAGGAAACCGUCUUUCCACUGUGCCAGUCAGCUCCAAAUGAUUAUGUAAUUACCUUUGUGGCUGUAAUCCUGUAGGGCCUUAUUCUAAUUAUAGCCCACAAUCCUUUUUAGCAGCUUUCAGAGAAAUAAUUUGUGCGAUGAAAUGGGGCUCUGCAGGCUACAGGAAUGUCCAGAGUUCUGGGCACAGGCAGUCACACCUGCCUCCUAGAAUUCACAUGUCCUUGCCUCUUGCUUAAAGAAGGAUCAGAAGGUUCAGUCCUUGGAAGCCACUUCUUGGGGGAGAUCCCAUUCAGCACAUGCAGGAUCCCAAAGAACUCCAAUCACUUGGUUCCAUUCCUAAUGACUUACUAUACAUUCUUUAAAAGUAGUUUCAAGUGAAUUCUGUAUGUAAAUUAUGCCUCAAUAAAGUUGUUACAGAUAAA